AAAUCAACAUUAUAACGGCGUAAAGAGUGGUCACAUGUUAUCCAAGUAGCUAAGACCAAAAAGCAACUGAGUUGUCACAAGCUAAAGAUGCGGCAUAAGACCUCUAUUCAAAGAAGAUCUUAGACCAACGAUCAAUUGAAGCCACGAAAGCCAGGACCCAAACUGGGAUUAGAUACCCCACUAUGCCUGGCCCUAAAUCUUGAUGCUCGAUCUAACCGGAGCAUCCGCCCGAGAACUACGAGCACAAACGCUUAAAACUCUAAGGACUUGGCGGUGCUCCAAACCCACCUAGAGGAGCCUGUUCUGUAAUCGAUGAUCCACGAUGCACCCUACCAUUCCUUGCCCAAAACAGCCUAUAUACCGCCGUCUCCAGCCCACCCCCAUGAGGGCCCAACAGU
rnacentral:rRNA from 1 species